AGAUUGAACGCUGGCGGCAUGCCUUACACAUGCAAGUCGAACGGCAGCACGGGAGCAAUCCUGGUGGCGAGUGGCGAACGGGUGAGUAAUACAUCGGAACGUGCCCAAUCGUGGGGGAUAACGCAGCGAAAGCUGUGCUAAUACCGCAUAAGAUCUACGGAUGAAAGCAGGGGAUCGCAAGACCUUGCGCGAAUGGAGCGGCCGAUGGCAGAUUAGGUAGUUGGUGAGGUAAAGGCUCACCAAGCCUUCGAUCUGUAGCUGGUCUGGAGAGGACGACCAGCCACACUGGGACUGAGACACGGCCCAGACUCGACGGGAGCAGCAGGUGGGAAUUUGGA
rnacentral:rRNA from 1 species